rnacentral:rRNA from 1 species
GACAGAGGGUGCAAACGUUGUUCGGAAUUACUGGGCGUAAAGCGCGUGUAGGCGGCAUGGCAAGUCGGGUGUGAAAGCCCUGGGCUCAACCUAGGAAGUGCACUCGAAACUGCCACGCUUGAGUCUUGGAGAGGAAGGCGGAAUUCUCGGUGUAGAGGUGAAAUUCGUAGAUAUCGGGAGGAACACCGGUGGCGAAGGCGGCGAUCUGGGAAGAUACUGACGCUGAGGUGCGAAAGCGUGGGGAGCAAACAGG